UCUAGAGGAGGCUCUAGAGAUGGGAGUGGACUGGUCCCUCAGAGAAGGCUAUGCCUGGGCAGAGGAUAAGGAGCACUGUGAGGAGUAUGGCAGGAUGCUGCAGGCCGACCCCAACAAGGUCUCCUCCAAGGCCAAGAAGAGGCCUGCCUCAGCUGGGUACUCUGGGGGCAGGGAACCACUACGCUGAGAUCAGGUGGUGGAUGAGAUCUAUAAUGACUAUGCUGCUAAGAAGAUGGGCAUCGACCACAAGGGCCAGGUGUGUGUGAUGAUCCACAGUGGCAGCAGGGGGCUGGGCCACCAGGUGGCGACAGGUAGGACUGCUCUCUCUACCCAUGUUGGAAAUGUGCAUUUUUGUUUUGUUUUAAAGAAUUGUCUGUAACGUGGUCACUUGUCUGCGUUGCUGCGCGGUGUAUUGGUUCUCGUCUUGGUCAGGUUGUUGUUGCUGUUUGUCUGUAACGUGGUCACUUGUCUGCGUUGCUGCGCGGUGUAUUGGUUCUCGUCUUGGUCAGGUUGUUGUUGCUGUUUGUCUGUAACGUGGUCACUUGUCUGCGUUGCUGCGCGGUGUAUUGGUUCUCGUCUUGGUCAGGUUGUUGUUGCUGUUUGUCUGUAACGUGGUCACUUGUCUGCGUUGCUGCACGGUGUGUUGGUUCUCGUCUUGGUCAGGUUGUUGUUGCUGUUUGUCUGUAACGUGGUCACUUGUCUGCGUUGCUGCGCGGUGUAUUGGUUCUCGUCUUGGUCAGGUUGUUGUUGCUGUUUGUCUGUAACGUGGUCACUUGUCUGCGUUGCUGCGCGGUGUAUUGGUUCUCGUCUUGGUCAGGUUGUUGUUGCUGUUUGUCUGUAACGUGGUCACUUGUCUGCGUUGCUGCAUGGUGUAUUGGUUCUCGUCUUGGUCAGGUUGUUGUUGCUGUUUGUCUGUAACGUGGUCACUUGUCUGCGUUGCUGCGCGGUGUAUUGGUUCUCGUCUUGGUCAGGUUGUUGUUGUUGUUGUUUAUCAAUGACUUACCUGGUUAAAUAAAGGGAAAAAUAUGCAUUGAUCUGUUUUAGAAUAAGACUGUUACUUUACCAAAGCACCAAAGCAGUACCAGGUACCAAAGCAUUUCUGCAACCUCGAAGGUCCCCAAGAACACAGUGGUCUCCAUCAUUCUUAAAUGGAAGAAGUUUGGAACGACCAAGAAGACUCUUUCCUAGAGCUGGUCACCUGG